UGCUUAACACGUCACUAUAGACGUUGAUAAAUGUUUCCGCACUGCGACCGCACUGUUCCUUAUACUCAGUUCUCUGACGAAAAUGUGAAAUGUGUUGCAUUACAUGAUAGCUGCUUGCCGGGAAUGAGAAAAUUUCAAGUGAAAUACGGUCAACGUUUUUCAAACCUGGAAGGAGCAGUGCAACCUUUCCCAGAGCCAGAAGGCGUUCAGGAAUUAUUUGAACUUUUGGGGUACUUUUAUGGCCGGGUACCCUGCAGAAUCAAUGGUGACGACGUGAAGGACAUUCUUCAUUGUCUUCUGCACUGCCAGCUGCACAUUCCUGAAUGGCAAGCCCUCCAUCGGCGUCUAAUGCAGCUUGGCUAUGCCGUCCAAGGCCACCCUCCUUGGUCUUUUCCUUCGGCCUACCCAGUGAGCCGUCACCACAGUCCUGCUACACUUUUUGAAACACUCCAGCCUUCUGUCUACCCUCUGACUGGGCCCUCUUCCAGUGUCUAGCCUGUACCGUACUAACUGUUUUCCUUUCUUUCUUUCUUUUUCUAGUUUUACUUAUUAUUAUCUUUCUUUUUGGAAUAACAAGCCAGCAUUAGCCUGGCUGACAUUUUCAUAUUCUCCCCCUGGUGUUCCUGAAGAGUAACGCACAAACCACUGUGGUCCGUUUACGUACACUGCACAAAAUCCAUACACUUCGUGGCCUCCGAAGUUAUGUACAUACUAACGGCUCAGUCCUUCAAGACGGAUGGACAGCUGCAAUUUACAUUCCACAUCAUGGAGUUUCACAUGAGCAAGGAUUCAAGCUCCUCCAUGCAAUGUUGUGACAUUGCCAAGGUCUUCGCUAUUAGCUGCUUUGAGAGACGACCCUUAGGCGACACCUAGAGUUUGGGUGAUCCUCACGGGAAGUUAAGGAGCGUUGAAGGUAGUAGUAAGCACUGUCCACUGGCUGGCGGCAUCACACAGGACAGGGCAACACAGAGGGGAUGUGGACACCAUUAAAUUAACAUUUAGAGCCAAGUACCCAAGAGAAAAAAUAAAGUCGGCACAAAGUCGG